rnacentral:rRNA from 1 species
AUUGAACGCUGGCGGCAGGCUUAACACAUGCAAGUCGAGCGGAGAGAGGUAGCUUGCUACUGAUCUUAGCGGCGGACGGGUGAGUAAUGCUUAGGAAUCUGCCUAUUAGUGGGGGACAACAUUUCGAAAGGAAUGCUAAUACCGCAUACGUCCUACGGGAGAAAGCAGGGGAUCUUCGGACCUCGCGCUAAUAGAUGAGCCUAAGUCGGAUUAGCUAGUUGGUGGAGUAAAGGCCUACCAAGGCGACGAUCUGUAGCGGGUCUGAGAGGAUGCUCCGCCACACUGGGACUGAGACACGGCCGAGACUCCUACGGGAGGCAGCAGUGGGGAAUAUUGGGCAAUGGGCGCAAGCCUGAUCCAGCCAUGCCGCGUGUGUGAAGAAGGCCUUAUGGUUGUAAAGCACUUUAAGCGAGGAGGAGGCUACUUUAGUUAAUACCUAGAGAUAGUGGACGUUACUCGCAGAAUAAGCACCGGCUAACUCUGUGCCAGCAGCCGCUGUAA